AAGAGACGUUGCCCUUCGGGGUAUACCUCCCACCCUUUGUUUAUUAUACCUUUGUUGCUUUGGCGGGCCCGUCCUCGGACCACCGGCUUCUGCUGGUCAGUGCCCGCCAGAGGACCUAAAACUCUGAUUGUUAAUAUUGUCUGAGUACUAUAUAAUAGUUA
rnacentral:misc_RNA from 1 species